UGGUGUCGAUAGAAGGUGGGUGAGUCUUGGCCAAUCAAAGGUUUAUUUGUUGGACAUGUCGUAACGGAGAAUGUAAUUGCAGCUGCGGAGCAGGGCUGUGAAGCAAUCAAGCGUACAAACUACUCCUAACUACCUAUGUAGAGAUCCAUGCUAUGUAGCUUGACGUAUAUGCAGUGUACGCUCUAUGCAAGACUAUUUUUUGUUUUUAUUUUGUUUUUAGCUUAAUGCAUGCUUGGUGGCGGUUUGAAAAUGGCUGGUCGCGCUUGCUGCACUAUGCGAUUGUGUUAGAACUUCAUUAUUAAGCACCUCGAUGGAAUGGUGUUUCUACAAUUAUACCUAAGCUGUUAAAUUUCAAGAAAUUGGAUGUGAGGGUGGCCCUGGUGUGGGAGGCGGCGCGGCCUCGCGAGAAGGACCGGAC